AUUGAACGCUGGCGGCAGGCUUAACACAUGCAAGUCGAGCGAGCGGCGGACGGGUGAGUAAUGUCUGGGAAACUGCCUGAUGGAGGGGGAUAACUACUGGAAACGGUAGCUAAUACCGCAUACCAUCAGAUGUGCCCAGAUGGGAUUAGCUAGUAGGUGGGGUAAUGGCUCACCUAGGCGACGAUCCCUAGCUGGUCUGAGAGGAUGACGAGCCACACGGGAACGGAGACACGUUCCAGCCCCCUACGGGAGGCAGCGGUGGGGAAUUUUGCACAAUGGGGGCAAGCCUGAUGCGGCCAUCCCGCGUGGAGGAAGAAGGCCUUCGGUUUGGAAAGCACUUUCAGCGGGGAGGCGUUACUCGCAGAAGAAGCACCGGCUAACUCCGUGCCAGCAGCCGCGGUAAUAC
rnacentral:rRNA from 1 species